CACGGCCCUUAUCGAAGCUGCAGCUGCUUCCGCGUAGCCGCUGUGGUCAAAGAGGACCCCAGAGUGAAUUUCUCGGAGGGUCGCCGUCAGGCCUGCCUUGGCAGGUCUGCAACAUUGUGGGGAAAGACAGCU
rnacentral:snoRNA from 2 species